UCCCAUAUGGUCUAGUGGCUAGGAUAUCUGGCUUUCACCCAGAAAGGUAUGGGAA
rnacentral:tRNA from 1 species